rnacentral:rRNA from 1 species
UACAGAGGGUGCAAGCGUUGUUCGGAAUUAUUGGGCGUAAAGGGCGCGUAGGCGGUGCGGUAAGUCUGCAGUGAAAUCUCUGGGCUCAACUCAGAGUCUGCUGUAGAAACUGCCGUGCUUGAGUGUGGGAGAGGUGAGUGGAAUUCCCGGUGUAGCGGUGAAAUGCGUAGAUAUUGGGAAGAACACCGGUGGCGAAGGCGGCUCUCUGGACCGAGACUGACGCUGAGGCGCGAAAGCGUGGGGAGCAAACAGG